CAGAGAUAAGAACAGGCUUUAAGUAAAUGGCAAAGGCAGCAAAUGGCUACAUCCGAAAGGGCAGGAGGUUAUUUCUCUUCAGCUAGCCCCAUCUAUUUCCAGAAUUGCUUAGUGACUUCAGCUGAAACUGAGGGUUCUGGUGCCAGGCACCUACAGAUCCAGUCUCCUCUCCUCAUAGCCAUGAGAAGGACUGACAGAGUUCUUUCAGAGGCAAGAGAAAGCAGAGAAAGCGCCUCGAAACUAAGGCCUGUGGCUGGCGAUUUGUUAUGAAAGUGAAGUGAAACAUCUCCAGUCAGUAACGUUAAGAUGUUUCUGAAAGCCAGGACCUCUGGGGAAAAACCACAGAAGCCACUCCAAGAGGAAGCCUGAGACAGAGCAGCUUCCUGCAGCUGGGCCCAUCUAGUAGCUCAAGGAUGGUAACCGCAUCUGCUCCCAAAAGAGACCCUGGCCGACCGCAAGGGAGCUGGAGGCUCUGCGUCUUCCUGUCUGGGACGUGGGGAGAGCCAUCUUCAGCCAGCCUAGCCUACAUAGAAGGGGACAGUCUGCAG